AAGAAAAAAAAUGAGAACAAGAAAGGGAAACAAGGAGAAGAAAAAGGAGAAGAAAAGACACGGAAAAAAAGAGGAAAGGAUAAGCUUCCAAUGUACUUGCGUUCACCUUUCAUGGUUGAACAUGAAAAACUUUUCAAGAAUGUGGACAAUAGAAAGGUAGUUGAGUAUGCGUUUGCUCAAGGAGAUAAUAAGGAGCUUUUGUAUGCUGAUAACAUGGGGACAACGAUUACGAGAGAUGAGAUUCAUAGUCUCA